rnacentral:rRNA from 1 species
GAUGAACGCUGGCGGCGUGCCUAACACAUGCAAGUCGAGCGAAGCAUUUUAAAGGAAGUUUUCGGAUGGAAUUUGAAAUGACUGAGCGGCGGACGGGUGAGUAACGCGUGGGUAACCUGCCUCAUACAGGGGGAUAACAGUUAGAAAUGAUUGCUAAUACCGCAUAAGCACACAGUACCGCAUGGUACAGUGUGAAAAACUCCGGUGGUAUGAGAUGGACCUGCGUCUGAUUAGCUAGUUGGCGGGGUAACGGCCCACCAAGGCGACGAUCAGUAGCCGGACUGAGAGGUUGGCCGGCCACAUUGGGACUGAGACACGGCCCAG